GGUUUACUUUAUAGUAAAUUGCAAAUUUACUUAAGCUUAUAGCGUAAGCCU
rnacentral:tRNA from 1 species